UAUGUUACGACUUAUUCCAUUUUAAUGAAAUUGACGGGCAAUUUGUACACUUUUCAAAACUAAUUUCAAUUUAAUUAAUUUAAUAAAUUUACUUUUAAAUCCUCUUUCAAAUUAAUUUUAAAAUCAAUUAUUCAAAAAUCAAAUUUAUUAUAAUUCAUAAAUUCUUAAAUAUACUACAUUUUGAUUUGAUUAAUUAUUUUAAAUUAAAUAUUAAUUAAAAAUAAUUUUAUAUAAAAAUAUACAACAAUAUAUAAGUUUAAUUUAAGUAGGUCUUAUCGUGGAUUAUCAAAUUAAAUUACAAAUUUCUCUAAUAAGAAUGAAAAGCCGCCAUAUAAUUUAAUUUUAAUGAUUUUACAUUUAUUUAUAAAUUAAUUAUAUUAUUUUAUAUAGUGGGGUAUCUAAUCCC
rnacentral:rRNA from 1 species